UCCCUACGGGAGGUAGCAGUGAGGAAUAUUGGUCAAUGAGCGAGAGCCUGAACCAGCCAAGUCGCGUGAGGGAAGACGGUCCUAUGGAUUGUAAACCUCUUUUGCCGGGGAGCAAAAAGCGGUACGUGUACCGCAUCGAGAGUACCCGGAGAAAAAGCAUCGGCUAACUCCGUGCCAGCAGCCGCGGUAAUACGGAGGAUGCGAGCGUUAUCCGGAUUUAUUGGGUUUAAAGGGUGCGCAGGCGGCGAGUUAAGUCAGCGGUAAAAGCCCGGGGCUCAACCCCGGCGAGCCGUUGAAACUGGCGG
rnacentral:rRNA from 1 species